UUUCUUGCGGAGCACGCGACCAACCUGAAGCGGCUGAUAAUUCAAGAUCCACGACCGCAACAUGACUUUUACUAUUGGAACUUGCAUUUGCACCACGAAAAGUAUCACUUGGAGAAAAAAGACGUGAAUUCCAUUUGUCAAAUGAGGAACCUGACGCAUCUCGGCAUUGAAAAAGGAGUAUUAAUCAGGCUGUCGGGAUUUUUCGAAAUCUGCAGCGAGUGCGAAAACUUGCUAUCGAUCAACUGCAAGGAAAUUCUGAUCGACGUCGACCUUGAUAUCCUGAGAACACGAUUUGGCUCCCUGAAAAAGAAGUUUCCCCUACAGGAAUGCGACGCGAGGAACAUCCGAUGGAGCAAAUUGACCCUUUGGUUUAGUCGAUUAUUAUCGCCUCUUCAGAGGUUGAUUGUGUCGCCCAGAAAUGAUUACGAACUAAAUUUUUACGAAAUCAUCCCUGACGUUACACAUCUCACUGUAUGAGAUUUUUUAUUAUUCUUUUUAUUUUGAAUUAAUUUGUAUAUUAAACCAUGUUUAUAUUAUUUUAGUUAUAUUGCACCGAUCCAUUUUUGGAGCCAUUCGACGGCUUUCCACGCCUCCCCAGAAUUGAACACGCUGAGUUGAUGUGCUCGACGGAGAUUUCAGCUAUAAUUUUGCACAAUUUCUUAAUCAUAAACGGACAAUUUUUGGAAAGUUUGAUCCUCGUUGAUUUGAAACCAAUAGCAAAUGUCACCCUGAAGUAUAUCUUCAAAAGGUGUAGCAAUUUGAAGAGUCUCGAGUUGAGGAGAUCUGAUUUAACUGAAGAUGACGAAUUGAUCCCUUCUUUUGGACCGUUGCAACGAUUCGUUUGGGAGUUGACUGAUUUAAACAAUGCCACGGCCGCAUUUUCCCGGAUUUUGACGGCACCGCACCUGCGAGAAUUCUCGGUAAGCGCCCACAAAUUCGACCACAGCGACCUGAAAGCGCUAGUCCCUCGGAUCAAGCGGCGCGAAAUUCUGACAAGUCUGGAAAUGUUUAGCAUCAAGAGCAUGAGCAGAGACGAAUUGGUCAAUUCCAACCUGCGGCAGUUGCUCCGAGCAGUCGAGUCAACGUCUUUGAACUGCUCUACGAGCGAAUCAGCUUCGUAUUUGGAUGAGAAUGGAAAUUUAAACAUAUUAGAGUUAGUUUACAAGUCUUCCUUAAAUCCCAGGAAGAGAAUUUAAUUCAAUCCUUGGGAGGAUGAAAAAACGAGUGGCUUGUUUAGGUUUCAGUUUAUAUUGCCUUUUUUACGGAAUGCAAUCCUAAAUUGUUCCCAUUUGAAACCAUUUCAUAAAUAAAUAGUCUGUAUUUCAUCCCGCAUUUGACUUCGAUUUUCAAUUUGUGCACUCGAAGUGAUGAAUGUAUAAGUUUCUACUUAAACAAAUAUACAAAAAUGAUAGUGCAUAAAAA